AUUGAACGCUAGCGGGAUGCUUUACACAUGCAAGUCGAACGGCAGCGCGGACUUCGGUCUGGCGGCGAGUGGCGAACGGGUGAGUAAUGUAUCGGAACGUGCCCAGUAGCGGGGGAUAACUACGCGAAAGCGUAGCUAAUACCGCAUACGCCCUACGGGGGAAAGCAGGGGAUCGUAAGACCUUGCACUAUUGGAGCGGCCGAUUUCAGAUUAGCUAGUUGGUGGGGUAACGGCUCACCAAGGCGACGAUCGGUAGCUGGUUUGAGAGGACGACGAGCCACACUGGGACUGAGACACGGCCCAGACUCCUACGGGAGGCAGCAGUGGGGAAUUUUGGACAAUGGGGGCAACCCUGCUCCAGCCAUCCCGCGUGUGGGAUGAAGGCCUUCGGGUUGUAAAGCACUUCUGGCAGGAAAGAAACGUAGCGGGCUAAUACCCCGUGGAACUGACGGUACCUGCAGAAUAAGCACCGGCUAACUACGUG
rnacentral:rRNA from 1 species